GGGAAGCGGCGACGGGGCUCUGAGGCGUGAUUGGCAUGUGCUGAAGCCUUUUUGCCUGUGAGUUGGUUAUGUGGGAGCUAUUUCAAAUGGCAUCAGAAGGACAAAGCCAGGAAAGAGAGGAUCCAUCUGAGGAUCUUACAAUCCAUUUCUGGGGCAACAGAACCUCACACUGGGGAGCCAUCCUCUCUGCAGUGAAAGACCAUAUCCCAUCUCUGGACUCUGACACCUCCGCGUCCGAUUGUGAUGAAGAUGGGGACCUGUUCAUCUUCCAGCGAGAUCUACCCAAUCUGAUUCCUGACUUGUCGGAAGAACUGACAGAUCUUUCUCCAGGAGACCCAGACAUGCAGAAAAUAUUAGAAUCUGUGGGACACUCCAGAGAGACCUGGCAUGGAGACCUAGAAAGUUCAGUUCUUCCGAAAG